GUCUCUCCUUCUCACGUCCUCUCUCGCUCGCUCUCGUUUCUCUUAUCUUCCACCGAGAUUAGCUCGCUGCGCAGUUUGCACGUACGCGCCUCUUCUCUCGUGCAUCGUCGCGCAGCAGGAACAAAGGACGAAGGCACGAAGAAAACUCGUGGACGCGGCGAGAGAGAGAGAGAGAGAGAGAGAGAGAGAGAGACUGUUUGCCCGGUACAAAUAGAUCCCUCUUCUCUCCUCCUCCCUUCCCCGUAGCCAGCUCUUUUUCUCAUACUUGAUGAUACGUCGUUAAAUCGAAGCGACGUGCGAUCGAAAUUGCGCGCAACUUACGAUAGGAGUUUCUGAAUUUAAGUCCGAGUUUCAUCUGGCGGUUUUGUCUGUGCGAAGGAAGUUGAAAAGCACGUAGUGCGGUUUGGAAGAGCGCAGGUGCCUCCUAACGUGCGGCAAUGUUCGGACGAGUCCCCUGUCUCGUACGAUAACUUCCCGGGGAACGAGUGCGUCGGUUAUAUUCUAGCGGCGGGCAUGUCGAGUGUACCUUCGACUGCGCGAAUGUAAGGCGGUAUCAAACCCAAAUGCGUCCGAAGCUGCUUGGGCCAAGCUACUUGGGUGUCCUUUCAUUCAUUCACAUCGCUCGAUGUCCACUUCGAGUUAACUUGGAUUAUCAGUUGAAUAAUUUGCUUUAUCGGUCGUUAUCAAGAUUAUUAGAAUUCUCACUGAUCUCUUGGCUUCAGGACGACCUCAAGACAUGUCUUUAUGGAUCAGCGAAGCUUGGCUUCGUUGGAAAGUACGAGCGUCAUCUCGUAACGCUUCAAGAAUAUUUGUAAUUUAUUUUGUCGCUUAUUACUAAUAUUUAAAAAAAUAUUUCACGCUUCUCUUUGAAAAUUCUGCUCGACAAGACGAUAAAAUGAUGUUUGUUUAAUUCGAGUUUAAUUCGGUAGAUUGCGCUAUCGAUAUUCGUCGUCGCGAUGGAUUCGUCAGGUACGCCGUGAUAUAUGCCGUGAUAUGUUUGCGAUCCAGAAAACGGACUAUUUCGUGAUCGGCUUGGAUGCUCUACUCGGAUUAGAUGCCACGUGAGAAAACGUUCCGAGUGAUUUAACGACGAGGCAGAUUUAUUUCGAAUAUAACGGAACAGCUUUCGGGAGGAACGGAAUUAUUUUCAGGCUCGCUGCGCGUCUUAAUUUAUAAGAGAGGCUCCAGGUCACACGUUGAAAUAUUCGACGAGACGAUUUGUAAAUUUUGCGAAAGGCCGCGAGGCGGCAAUGCGCGCGCGUCUCGAGAGGGAGAGAGAGAGAGAGAGAGAGGGAGAGAAAAAAGAGCCUGUUUUAUAAAAAGUUGCGUAUACCCGCAAAAAAUAUCUGCACUUAUUUAUCGCCUCGUGUAAACAAAGCAGUCGUUCGUGUAACUUAUAUAUCUGUUUCAUCAACAACCGAUAUUCAUCACAUGGAUUCCUGCCGAGCAUUUCGGCGAACGUGUUUUUCAUCCGCCAUUUUGACCAUGUGGACUUGCGUGCUGCCGCGUAACGCGUGAUUAUUCCGUGAGGAUCAAAUAUCUCGCGAGCAAGUGAAGUGACGGGCACACAAGGAUAAAAGUUGCGGCGCAUGAAGGGUCAAUGAGUGCCUUUCUAAACUUUAAUGGGUAUUACUUCGGCAGUCAAGGUGAAGCUAAACGUUUGCUGACUACCGCCGGCCGGGCUUGAUGUACGCGCGGCGAUCAAGGUCGCAGGACUAUCUAAUAGCGGCACCUAGUAGCGUGACCAAGGUCGACGAGCAGUGAAUCUUUUUGGUGUAUUGCGCACAAAGCGAAACACGAACGAGGCGUAAUGCUUCCUCCGAAUGUGAUCGGGCGGAAAUGACGAACGACCGAGUCAAACACCGCUGAUCGAUCGACCUCGCUCUCAGCUCCGCGAUGAAUUAUGUUGACACAAAGAAAGUUAUGAAUCCGAAAAUUUAGAAGGGAGAAGUGACAGAAGUGAGAAUUCAAACGGAGAAGAACUACGGAGUCAAAUCGACCGCUGCUCGGUUGACCUCGCUCUCGAUUUCGCGAUAAAUUGCGUUGACAAAAAAAAUUGUGAAUUCAGAAAUGUACAA